CGUUCGUCGAGAGCGUCAAGUGUGCGAUUAGAUGCACAAACCGUCGUUCUCUCCAUUAUGUUGUUGUUGUUGUUCUUGUUGAUGUUUUAACACAAUAUUUGAUAUUUCGAUGUUUUAGUUUGUGAACGCGUGCGCGGAAGCGAUCACGUGACGAGGAAGGAAGAGGAAAGUAACGGUUUUGCUUGUUGGCUUUAUUUGGAUGGAAUAAACUUCGCACGCGCAGUUGAGUUAUUGUUCUUUUAGUUGUGCUAGUUGCCAACAUGGAGGCGAGAGGAAAGUAUGACUUCACGGCGACGACGACAGGCGAGCUGAACUUUAAGAAGGACGACGUGGUCAAGAUUUUAAGCACACACGGCGAGUGGUACAAAGCCGAGCUGGACGGACACGAAGGCUACGUACCCCAGAACUACAUGAACGUGACCGCGCCGGCAUGGUUCCGGGAGAAUGCCACUCGCGGCACAGCGGAAAAAAUCCUCAGCCCCAAAGCCAUCGGAGCCUUUGUUAUCCGGGGAUGCCAAAGUUCACCUGGAAAUUUCUCCAUCUCCGUCAAGCACGAGUGCGACGUGCAGCACUUCAAGGUCAUCCGCGACGAAGGGGGUCACUACUUCCUGUGGGCCGAGAGGUUCACGUCCCUCAACAAGCUAGUGGAUUUCUACAAGACUUCUUCCAUCUCCAAGACCGCCGACAUCUUCCUCAACGACGGCGCCGACGCCACCGGAACGCCCGGCGCUCAGUCGGUGGAGAGAGGAAGUUUACCCAAGCAGCGAAUUAUGGCCGACAUCAUGGCCGCCAACAUGGUCGCUGCCUCGCGCAGAGUCUCCGAACAGCCUCGGCCGAGCCACACGGCAAGGGGGCGUGGCCUGGAGGAGCGUGUUGAGAGUGCGGUCCAAUCAGGAAGAAGAAGCCCGAUCGGUGCCGCUCGAGCUCCUGACGCCACCCACCUCCACCAGCAGAGGGCGCCGCCGCAGCAGGUUUUGGCUUUGUACAACUUCAACGCAGAAGAAGACGACGAGUUGAGCUUCAGCGCCGGCGACGUCAUCAACAUCGCCGAUGCCUCCGACCCGACUUGGUGGACAGGGCGCUGCGGCGGCAGGAAAGGACUCUUCCCGGCAAACUACACCAGGCGGCUAUGAUGCAAGACACACCAAGAUUGAGGAUGACGAAGAACAAGAAGAAGAAAGAGAAGAGGAGGAGCGAAGAGGAGGAAGGAGAGAAGGAAGAGGAGAAAGAAAACAACUCUGGCUCAAUUUAUUAGAAGGUCCACUCACUGCAGCACACAAAAUGGGAUCUUAACACCUCCCACUUGACGAGCUGUCUCCUAGUUACAAGCGCAGAAAGCGCUCGGCUCCCGCUACUGAUGACGACGACGAUGAUGAUGAUGAUGAUGAUUC